UGUUUUGGCGGAUGAGAGAAGAUUUUCAGCCUGAUAC
rnacentral:rRNA from 1 species